AACGUUCCAUCUCCCUUCUUGGCAAAAGUGACUCCAGUACCCCAAGGGGACACACUAUGUCUGAUAAAAUCAUUGUCUUGUAAUUUAGUGAUCUGCUUCUUCAGCUCCUCCAUCUCAACGCGACUCAUGCUGUAAGGAGCAACCGAAAUAGGUUGGGUGUCAGGCUGUAGGUCUAUGGUGAACUCGACUUCGUUGUCUACUAGUAGUCCGGGCAGCUCAUCCGGAAAUACAUCUGAAAAGUCUCAGACUACCAAGAUCUCUUAAAUACAAUUCUCUUUCUUGGGUUUGCCUAGUUAGAGAAAAUAAUAAGGUUAAAGAACUUGACAAGUAAGAAAAUUGUCAUCAAGUAAUAAGUACUAAAUGAUUUUAUUCAUUUGUAAAUGGCUCUCCAUUUGGAGGAUUGAAUACAACCUUCUUGCUAAAACAAUCUAUGGUGGUGUGAUACGUCGCUAGUCAAUUUAUCCCUAAAAUUACAUCAAAAU
rnacentral:lncRNA from 1 species